UGUCUAACCGAAGGUGGGGUUGUGAGGCUGACACCACUUAGAUUGACCUUAGUUUAAUAGCGCUUUGUUGUCUCUCUUGCCACAGGAAGGCGCCAGGGUUGUCCUACUUUAAGCCUUCGGGUGCCUUUAUUGAGGGGUACCUGAAAAAUCUUAAAAAAAGGCUUAGCGCCCACCUCACCCCUCCACCCCCAGGCCAACAAACUUGCUCAUGCUGUUUAUUCCAGCAUAAAGCUGAAAUGAAAGGCCAUUUGACACUAAUUUACCCGGAACAGAUCUGACUUGGUAUGUAAACGUAGAAAAAGCUUGUUCACCUGUUGUCCUCAUUUUGUCCCCUGGUGAAUUCAACUGGAAGCUCCUUCUAGUCUGAAGAGUACCAUCUGAAAGAACUAGUGGUUCCCAAUCCCCACAUUUAAAACGUUUCCACUUGCCAGUUAAACUUCUUGAAGUCUGUUGUUCGUUUGGAACUUAUUUCUUGUCACUGAUUUUAAAGUUGCAUCUGGAAAAGACUAAAGGCUUCAGUGCCCUCCCCACCCCCCCUACCAGAAGUGAACAAAAAGCAUUUUACCUAAAGCACAGCAAAAAGGACUGCUUCAAUCACAAACAUGAAUGCUUAAAGCUGCAGAAAUUUCCUCAACACUCAGC
rnacentral:lncRNA from 1 species